CCUUUCCCGUUAGUGAACCUGCGGAGGGAUNNAUNACGCGAGUUUACAACUCCCAAACCCCUGUGAACAUACCAAUUGUUGCCUCGGCGGAUCAGCCCGCUCCCGGUAAAACGGGACGGCCCGCCAGAGGACCCCUAAACUCUGUUUCUAUAUGUAACUUUCUGAGUAAAACCAUAAAUAAAUCAAAACUUUCAACAACGGAUCUCUUGGUUCUGGCAUCGAUGAAGAACGCAGCAAAAUGCGAUAAGUAAUGUGAAUUGCAGAAUUCAGUGAAUCAUCGAAUCUUUGAACGCACAUUGCGCCCGCCAGUAUUCUGGCGGGCAUGCCUGUUCGAGCGUCAUUUCAACCCUCAAGCCCAGCUUGGUGUUGGGACUCGCGAGUCAAAUCGCGUUCCCCAAAUUGAUUGGCGGUCACGUCGAGCUUCCAUAGCGUAGUAGUAAAACCCUCGUUACUGGUAAUCGUCGCGGCCACGCCGUUAAACCCCAACUUCUGAAUGCUGAUCCAUCCGAUGGCACGNGUNACGUAAUAGCUACGCUNGCCGUG
rnacentral:rRNA from 1 species